rnacentral:rRNA from 1 species
AGCGGCGGACGGGUGAGUAACGCGUGGGUAACCUGCCCCAUACACAGGGAUAGCCAUUGGAAACGAUGAUUAAUACCUGAUAACACAUUAGUAUCGCAUGAUACAUAUGUCAAAGAUUUAUCGGUAUGGGAUGGACCCGCGUCUGAUUAGCUAGUUGGUAAGGUAAUGGCUUACCAAGGCGACGAUCAGUAGCCGACCUGAGAGGGUGAUCGGCCACACUGGAACUGAGACACGGUCCAGACUCCUACGGGAGGCAGCAGUGGGGAAUAUUGCACAAUGGGCGCAAGCCUGAUGCAGCAACGCCGCGUGAACGAAGAAGGCUUUCGGGUCGUAAAGUUCUUUUCUUAGGGAAGAAAAAUGACGGUACCUAAGGAAUAAGCACCGGCUAAAUACGUGCCAGCAGCCGCGGUAAUACGUAUGGUGCAAGCGUUAUCCGGAAUCACUGGGCGUAAAGGGUACGUAGGCGGUUUUGCAAGUCAGAAGUGAAAGGCUACGGCUCAACCGUAGUAAGCUUUUGAAACUGCAAGA